UUAGAUCCAGUUUCAAGACAAAGAUACAAGCAAUUAAUUAACAAAUCUGUUGGACCUGACCCAUAUCUCAUGAAGAUGAGUGAGUUUUCGACAGAACCUAAAGAUUUGCCGACAAUCGAGGCUGUUUAUCACAAAGUAUCUGGUCCUUCAGACAUCCUACUACACCAAACUGCUGAUGAAAGUCUAUAAAAGUCUGGAGGCAUAUCACUUUUUUGUCAGCGGUUGGGUCCACAGCCUCGGUACCAAACGGCUCCACGAUGAUUAUCGUUUGGUGUUCGCCAGGGUGAGUGUUUGUUGGAAGACAUCCGCCAUGACGUCUGUCAGUUCGUGCGUGGCAACAGGACCUUUAUGGAGACAGGGACAGUGUUGGAUGAAGGGAAGAGGGGACAACCAAGAACAUCUGAGGAAAACAUCCAUUGUGCCAACUGGCGACACUCCAAAGCAGCGGGAAAUACCUGUAAACCAGAUCAACCAGUGGGACUAACUUUAUGAGCGAGUUUCUCUCCACAUACCCCACACAAAGACAGGAAGUAUAGACACAAGACACAAGAAGAAAAGGUAUUUAAAAAUAAAAACAGGAAACCAAAA